rnacentral:lncRNA from 1 species
CAAGUCAUAUUUGAUUUACUCAUUGCCAUUAUCAUGGGAAUACAUCAUGGUUUCAAUUGGGUAUGGAUUCUUACAUUCAAAGCAUUCAAAGGAGGAUUCAAAAUUCAAAUUCAAAUUGGAAAAUGGAGGGACAAAUAUUUUAUUACUUGGAGAAUAAGUUACAACCAUACCAAGUCAAAGUUCACAUUCAAAAAUUCAAAUACAUUUCAAAAAGAACCAGAAUUGGAAUAACAAAGAAAACCUAAAAUUUGACCUAUAGUUGACUUUUGGUCAAACAGUUGACCAAAGUCAAACCUAUAACUCUAGACCUAUUCCUCUUCAUAUUGCAUCUACAUUCCUCUUCAGCUUCCCCAAAACCUCAUGUCAAAUUAUGCCGAAUCUUGUCCAUCCCAUGUCCAAAACCAUGUAUGCACCACCAUGUCCAACCACCAAAAUGCACCAUCGAACCUGCUAUGUUACAGUACCUGCAUCAAUCACGAAAACAACAACAAUUCCUGCACCAAAUGACCUAUUAAACCCUAUGCUCAAACCUCCAGUCAAGACCAACAAUAUCCAUCAUCACAUUGCAAUGAUCAAGAACUGGAUGCAACCAUGUUGCAAUUUCAUGACAGGUGUAUACACAACAAACUAAGUCUGCAUACAUUCAGUGUACAUCAAAGUCAUGCACAAUCCAUAAUUUGUACCAGACCUACAAACACUAGAUGCAUGCAUCACUAUCAAACAUUCAUAGCAGGUCAUGCAUACAACUCACAACAUUAUCAUAACCAUCAUCCUAACCAUUUAGAAUCCAAAUUGCACCCUUCAAGCCAUGCCAAAGUAUGUGAAAUGCAACAUCACAAACAAGACACUGCAGCAGCAUAAAGGAGAUCCAAUAUCAAAGCAAUGCAGUCAAGCACACUCUAAUUCGAAACCAAACAUGCACACAAGUAUGAUGUAGCAUGGAGCUCCAUCAAAAGCCAUGAUAAUUCAUAUAACAAAACAAUCUAAUUCCAUAUUUCCAAUGCAAUUCCGACAUAGUCAGGCAAUGCACCUCCAAUCCAAUCCAAACAUACAUCAAUGCAUGAUGUAGGGCUAACACAAUACAAUGCACACAUAAAUUUUGCAAUCAUUAAAAUAAUACUAACUAUUCAAUCAUACAUACCUCAAGACUUGGCAUGAUUUUUGUUACUCAUCACGAACAUGAACAAGCAUGAUUCAGCAUACACAACCUAAACUAAGUAGUCAAUCAUACACAUCAAGUUUAUCACAACAUCAAAGUCAACCAUACAACCAUGUCAUAUAAGUACACAUACAUGCACUACCCUAAGUGCUACCUCAAUCCCUUGUAACCAAUCUAACUACCUUAACCUCUAAGUAGCAAACUCUUAACUUCCAUAACCACCUCCCCUAGCUAAUUGUCCCAAUGCCCUAACCAAAUUGCCCAAGUUAGUUGUUAAAUACCUUAAAACAUAACUAACUAACCAUUCACCUUGUACUUAACUUACGCCUCAAUUUAACCUACUAACUUCUAACUACCAUAUAACAAACCCUAAUUACUCUAACAGGCAAUUCCACAUGGCACUUAGCCAAUUACUAAAUUGCCACUGCAUUUCAAAAUUCCCUCCAAAGUUGGUUUUAAACCCUAACUAGUUUCUAAAUUCCAAACAAACACUUCCAUCCCUAUUUUUACAUUAAACUCAGUUGAAAACACACAUAAUCCUCUCAAUUUUCUUCACUCCAAUUAACCAAAACCUAACUAACUUCUUAAACAUUUCUAACCCUUGAUUAAUGUGACACUUGGAUCACUAUCCAAAGGCUCACAAUCAAUCAUUUUCUAACUAACUUCUAACCAUAUUUCCCUACUAAUUUCUACCACCUCUCACCUAUAUAAUCAUUACAUCUCUUAUUUCAUCAACAAGUCACAUUCACCCUACCAAAACUAGGCACAAGUAUUUCAUAACCUCAAAAACCCUCACAAAAACUCUCAUUCAACCAUUGAUUAGAGCUUCACAUUGAAGCUUUGAAUCAAUUGAUAUAGGCCCCUCAUCAACCCUAAUUCAAUUUUCUCACCUUGUUUAAGACUCAGCCCUCUGCAAAUUUUAACCUAAUCUCUUUCCUAAUACAUCAAUAACAACAAUUCACACAAGAUUUCACAGUCCAUACAAAAUAAAAAAUAAGAAUAAAAGGUGGAAGGGAAGAAGACAUUCACAUAAAUAAGAGUUCAAAAGUACUUAUCUUAGUUGGAGUAUCCUCUAUGGGUUUCUUACUUAUCAGCUUCGAGCUCCUUGCAACACUCACCAAGGCACAUCUCAUCUUCGUUGGUAAAUCUUCAAUCCUUCAUCUUUUCUUCAAAACCUAGUUACCAUAUUAUUGUGUUUGAUGUGUUGAAAAGAAGCCCCGAGUCCAUAGCUUGAACCCGAGCUCCAUGACUAUUCAAUUUGAUUUCUAAAAUUCUUUAGGGUUUAUGAUUAGGAUAAGGUUUCAGUGAUUAGGUUGAGUUAUAUGAUAAUCAAAGUAUGAGGAUAAAUAAAUGAGAGGAAGACAAGUUCGGUGGUGGUGUUUUUGUGGUGUUUCGGGCCCCGCCACCAUCGGAGGCGAUUUCUAGAAUGGUGGAGAGAUUUUCGGUGACUGAGAGUGAG